GUUCCAAACGGUUAAAACUACGUUCCAAACGGUUACAACUACGUUCCAUGGAAGAAAAUAAAAUACCUUCCGUUGGUAUGAAGUUGAAACCGUUGAAGAAGUGUUAUAUAGGUUAUAACCUGCUAUAAGUCUAUAUAUUCAUAUGUCGGGUAGAAAGUCAGUCAAUAAACGUGUGUUUGAAAGCUACAACAAAGUUUGCUAAAGUAAGUUGAGUGUAAAUUUGGACCGACAGCGUCGCUAUAACGUGAACUAACUCUGCAGCGUUAACUCGCCAACGGCCGCUUCGAGGAGAAACCAGCCACCAAACAGCAGUUUACCUUCGUAGCAGAGGAUGCCGAUGUUGUUGUUCAUCUUGUCCAGUGAUCAAAGGGAGGAGAGAGAGAGAGGGGAGGACAUGCAGCAAAGGGCCACGAGACAGAUUCAAACCCUAGGCUGCUGCUGUAAGGACUCAGCCUUGGUACAUGGGGCACCCGCUCUGCCAGGUCUGGGCUUCUCCGGGGAGUGGGUGUGUCCGGACAACAACACCGCACACAGGCAGGCCAGGUGGUGAUUCAUACUAAUGCUUUAUUAACACGCUCCGCUGUUGUCACACAAACACGGGUGGAAUAAAAGACUGUGGGAUGAAUGUAGAGUGUAAAAAAAAAAAAAAAACCUGCCUUCCUCACAUUUCCUGUUUCCUUCCUUGAA